rnacentral:rRNA from 1 species
CAAGUCGAGCGCGUCUUCGGACGAGCGGCGAACGGGUGAGUAACACGUUGGAACCUGCCCCAGACUCAGGGAUAACAUCGAGAAAUCGGUGCUAAUACCGGAUAGUCUCGUAAGAGUAAAGCUUUUGCGGUCUGGGAGGGUCCUGCGCAGUAUCAGCUAGUUGGUAAGGUAAUGGCUUACCAAGGCUACGACGCUUAGCUGGUCUGAGAGGAUGAUCAGCCACAAUGGAACUGAGACACGGUCCAUACUCC